GUGCUUGCUUCAGCAGUACAGAUACUAAAAUUGGAACAAUAUAGAGAUGAUUAGGAUGGCCCCUGCUCUAGAAUGAGACUCAAAUUCAUGAAGCAUUCCAAGUGUUU